rnacentral:rRNA from 1 species
GCCUAGGCCAUACCACCCUGAGAACGCCCGAUCUCGUCUGAUCUCGGAAGCUAAGCAGGGUCGGGCCCGGUUAGUACUUGGAUGGGAGACCGCCUGGAAUACCGGGUGCUGUAGGCU